GUAAGAGUGACAGGAAAACAAAGCACAAUAGCUAAGUGGAGGCAGUGGAGUACAACAAUACAAGGUCCAGAGUUAAGACACAGCAAUAAGGGUGGUCUGCUCCGGCCUCGUUCAAAGAGUACAGCGGGACCGGGCUGAACCGAGCACAGAGAAGGCCUGACGGAGUGGGCGGGGUGGACGUGUCGUACUGAGACUGAGUCACCAACAAGUGGAAAUCUUUGUCCGGGCACCGGGAAAAAUGUUCAUCCACAGAGCAUUGGGGUA